rnacentral:rRNA from 1 species
UGCCAGCCGCCGCGGUAAUACGGAGGGGGUUAGCGUUGUUCGGAAUUACUGGGCGUAAAGCGCACGUAGGCGGACUGGAAAGUUGGGGGUGAAAUCCCAGGGCUCAACCCUGGAGCUGCCUCCAAAACUAUCAGUCUAGAGUUCGAGAGAGGUGAGUGGAAUUCCGAGUGUAGCGGUGAAAUGCGUAGAUAUUCGGAGGAACACCAAUUGCGAAGGCAGCUCACUGGGCCGCUAUCGACGCUGAGGAGCGAAAGCUAGGGGAGCAAACAGGAUUAGAUA